GAAGUGCCAUUGGGUGUUGAUUAAGCAGUAGACAGAAAAGCACUGACUCCCAGAAACAACUUGGAAGUGUCCCUUAAAAAAUGCUGUGCUGCAGAGGAAAGACAAGUUGAAGGGAGGUUCCUGUUCAACUGCAGGCUCACAUGGCUACUAGGAUUGUCCCUCAAAAGGUACCUGAUUAGUAACAGAAAUGAGCUGCAAUAAGGAAAUGUUAACAAGGAUUUAAAGAUCCAAAAACAACGAGCUGAACCUUCAGCUGUCUUCAAUUCACAUCCACAAAUCCCUCAACUGCUGAGCUAAGAAGAAUAAAGGGACCUACUAUCAACUUGACAUUACAGAUUCAGAUUAAAAAUAAUUGAACACAUAAAACCUUCCGGAGUACAAAAACCACUUACCAGGAUC